GACGAACGCUGGCGGCGUGCCUAAUACAUGCAAGUCGAGCGAAUCAAUAGGAGCUUGCUCCUGUUGGUUAGCGGCGGACGGGUGAGUAACACGUGGGCAACCUGCCUGUAAGACUGGGAUAACACCGGGAAACCGGUGCUAAUACCGGAUAAUCCUUUUCCUCUCAUGAGGAAAAGCUGAAAGUCGGUUUCGGCUGACACUUACAGAUGGGCCCGCGGCGCAUUAGCUAGUUGGUGAGGUAACGGCUCACCAAGGCGACGAUGCGUAGCCGAGCUGAGAGGGUGAUCGGCCACACUGGGACUGAGACACGGCCCAGACUCCUACGGGAGGCAGCAGUAGGGAAUCUUCCACAAUGGACGAAAGUCUGAUGGAGCAACGCCGCGUGAGCGAUGAAGGCCUUCGGGUCGUAAAGCUCUGCUGUUAGGGAAGAACAAGUACCGGAGUAACUGCCGGUGCCUUGACGGUACCUAACCAGAAAGCCACGGCUAACUACGUGCCAGCCGCCGCGGUAAUAC
rnacentral:rRNA from 1 species